rnacentral:lncRNA from 1 species
CACAACCACCACCGCCACCAACAUCACCACCACCUCCUCCACAACCACCACCGCCACCACCAUCACCACCACCACCACAACCGCCUCCUCCACCACCGCCACCCCUCCUUUUCUUGCUUGAUGAUCCACAAGCAAAUAUGACCAUCGAUAUGAGUGAGAGAGACAUAAGAACCAUGCCAACCAAAAGCAGGCCGCCAGAGUUGUCUGCCAAAAUACUGAGACCUACUCCCACUCCAUGACCACCACCACCAACAACAAAAUAAUUUCUAGCCAUUUUUUGGGUCUCGUUGCGUAACAAUACUUGCCGUAUGAACAAAUACUGUGUAGAAUUAAAAGCGAAGAACAGCUAUAUAUAUAGGAAUUCCAAGCAUACGUAUCACAUGCACCUAUGAGGUGUUGAAGUUUCAAAGCCAUAUUCUUCAAGUAUUUGAAUUGGCAGCUACAGAUUGAAAGGUUGAAGCUUAGACAAGUCUUACAAUUAAGGUGAUCCACAUAUAAGAACAUAUAUAUAUAUAUAU